rfam:Desulfitobacterium hafniense Y51 DNA, complete genome.
UAAAAUCAAGGGCAAACCGGCCUAAAGGUAGGGACGCAAAGCCGUAGGAUUUAAGGUGCUCAAAAAGUGCUAUGAUAGCCUGGUUGCCAAA